GGUUGAUAUUCCCGUACCGGCGCUGACGCGCCCAUGCUGAACCUGGUUGUGCUAACCAUCUGAUCGGAUGUGUCUCUUCGGAGGUGUGUCUGGGAGGUUGGGAUCCUGGCUGGUAGUAGGCAAGCGAUGGGGUGACGCAGGAGGGUAGUCCAACCCAGGCGGUGGUUGUCCUGGGGCAAGGGUGUAGGACGGAGCGUAGGUAAAUCCGCGUUUCCAUGUGUCUGAGACCUGAUGCCGAGCC
rnacentral:rRNA from 1 species